CCUACCACUACAGGAUUUGCAAAUGUGACUGCUGCAUUAGUAACUAGCAGAGAGGAGAGAGGCUAUGCCUGUGCUCAGUGUUCUGACAUGUGAACAUCUGAAUGAUUAGUAACUUAACACU
ensembl:snoRNA LOC120098698 small nucleolar RNA SNORA17